GCAAACUUGGUCAUUUAGAGGAAGUAAAAGUCGUAACAAGGUUUCCGUAGGUGAACCUGCGGAAGGAUCAUUACCAAAGGUUAAUAAAGUGUCACCUCUGUGGGUGGCAUGAAUAACCAAAAAAAGAUCAAACCCACUUUUGUGCACUCAUUGGAGUCGUGGAUCCUUUUUUUUUUUGGAUUCGCGGCUCCCAACCUCUUUUUUCUCUACUACUUUUGUUGUCUGAGUUUGAUGAAAACAAAUAUAUAUAUACAACUUUCAACAACGGAUCUCUUGGCUCUCGCAUCGAUGAAGAACGCAGC
rnacentral:misc_RNA from 1 species